rnacentral:rRNA from 1 species
UAGGGAAUCUUCGGCAAUGGGGGGAACCCUGACCGAGCAACGCCGCGUGAGUGAAGAAGGUUUUCGGAUCGUAAAGCUCUGUUGUUAAGGAAGAACGAGUGUGAGAAUGGAAAGUUCAUACUGUGACGGUACUUAACCAGAAAAGGACGGCUAACUACGUGCCAGCAGCCGCGGUAAUACGUAGGUCCCGAGCGUUGUCCGGAUUUAUUGGGCGUAAAGCGAGCGCAGGCGGUUAGAUAAGUCUGAAGUUAAAGGCAGUGGCUCAACCAUUGUAGGCUUUGGAAACUGUUUAACUUGAGUGCAGAAGGGGAGAGUGGAAUUCCAUGUGUAGCGGUGAAAUGCGUAGAUAUAUGGAGGAACACCGGUGGCGAAAGCGGCUCUCUGGUCUGUAACUGACGCUGAGGCUCGAAAGCGUGGGUAGCAAACAGG